UACGUAGGGUGCAAGCGUUGUCCGGAAUUAUUGGGCGUAAAGAGCUCGUAGGCGGUUUGUCGCGUCGAAUGUGAAACCCGGGGCUCAACCCCGGGCCUGCAUUCGAUACGGGCAGACUAGAGUUCGGUAGGGGAGUCUGGAAUUCCUGGUGUAGCGGUGAAAUGCGCAGAUAUCAGGAGGAACACCGGUGGCGAAGGCGGGACUCUGGGCCGAUACUGACGCUGGAGGAGCGAAAGCGUGGGGAGCAAACAGG
rnacentral:rRNA from 1 species